rnacentral:rRNA from 1 species
GUACACUCCUGCGGGAGGCAGCAGUGGGGAAUAUUGGACAAUGGGCGCAAGCCUGAUCCAGCCAUGCCGCGUGAGUGAUGAAGGCCCUAGGGUUGUAAAGCUCUUUCACCGGUGAAGAUAAUGACGGUAACCGGCGAAGAAGCCCCGGCUAACUUCGUGCCAGCAGCCGCGGUAAUACGAAGGGGGCUAGCGUUGUUCGGAUUUACUGGGUGUAAAGCGCACGUAGGCGGACUAUUAAGUCAGGGGUGAAAUCCCGGGGCUCAACCCCGGAACUGCCUUUGAUACUGGUAGUCUUGAGUUCGAGAGAGGUGAGUGGAAUUCCGAGUGUAGAGGUGAAAUUCGUAGAUAUUCGGAGGAACACCAGUGGCGAAGGCGGCUCACUGGCUCGAUACUGACGCUGAGGUGCGAAAGCGUGGGGAGCAAACAGGAUUAGAUACCCUAGUAGUCCCAUGA